ensembl:lncRNA
AUUUGUUUUGCACUUUAACAUGAUUUUUUUUAUUGUUUUGUUCUCAUUUCUUCCACAGGCUCGGCUUCAGCGCACGCCCUCCAGCACAUCAGAGGACUCCAUAAAGCUCCAGAGCAGCAGCUCCAUAGAGCGAGAGAUCUGGGAGGGCGACUUAUCGUCCAGCCCCAGGAAGAACUCUCUGUCCAGGAUAGACUCCAAACAGAAGGGCCGCAGCUUCUUCUCCCUGGGCGGCAAAACUCCGAGCUUAGAAGGCCAAAACCAGAUCCCCACACGACUGCUUCAGCUGGCUUCAUCCAAGGAGAAGAAGGACAAAAAGAAGAAGAAGAGCAAGAGCCAGCCUCCUCAGGAUGCAGCAUCACAUCUGCUGCCCCUGACAGAGCCUUCAAUGGACGGAGACAUCUUCUUCUGCUGAUUUACCCAUCAUCCCUUCUGUCCACAUCAUUGCCUCUCAUGGACUCUCUAUCAAAUCAUGUAGGAAGUCACCCAAAGUGCCCUCUACACGUUUCAGCAAUCUUUCUACAAUAUAAUAAAUCUCACAAAACAUGUCCAGGUCGCAUUACACCACAAAAUCAAAAGAAAAUUAAGAAAUCAUAUUUUGCCUAACCCAAAUCAGUCCUAUUUUAGGAUUGUUUUUAUUUUUUGUGACAUUAUUUUAAUAACAAUUUAGCCCCCAAAUUCUCAUUACCGUAAUGUAUAGAUAGUGGUAAUAUAUGAUUUCAAUUGUAAAGUAUUUAUAUACUACGGUAAAUGUUUUUGUACUGCUUUUAAAUAUUGUUUUACUACAGUAGUUUGUGCUGUAAUAAAGUUUGCUCUAUCACAGUAAUGAAAAUCACCAUUUAGAAUAAUAAUAAUUAUUAAUUAUUAUUCCAAAAAAGCUCAUGAUGCAGAAAUGGUAAAGGAAAUCUCUUUAUUAUAUAUAUAUAUAUAUAUAACUCAUCCAGACAGCAUAUAUGUGCUACACAUUAAAGUCUUAAGGUGCGUCCCAAAUCGCGUACUUAUGCACUAUUCUGUGACGUUUUGUAGUAUAAAUAGUGUGAGUAGUGUGUUCACACCUAAUAUUCCAAAAAGUAAAAAGUGCACUUUAAAUACCCGGAUGAUGCACUUGAAGAAUCGAAAAAACGAAGUGUGGAAUGUUGAACACUUCAUGCACUCAACUGUCGCAGCUUUAAUUACGUAGUGAAGGGAGAGGGGCUAUCAGACUCCGUUUAUGAAUGACAAAAUAACCUUAUAUAAUUCAUACACUACAUAGUGCAUAAGUACAUAGUGUAUAAGUGCAUAGUGUAUAGCGCGUCAUUUGGGACGCAGCUUUAGAUUUGCACUUGCUUUCACAUGUUUAUCAGACAAAUCCCAUCUUUGAAUACGUUGUUAAAAUGUGCAUUGUAUAUAAAUUUCAAUUACUGCACUCAUUUACAAAUGAAUUGUGUCACCAAAACAUUUUAAAAAGCAAAAAUGGGGUUUGCUGCUCCCCAUAUUGGCCAACUUUUUUUAGGCUGAAAAAUCAUUUCGGCUCAUUGCGCACAAGAAUGACCAUUUAAAAUUUGAUCACAGUUUUAACAUUUAAAGGGAUUCGGGGAGAGAGGUGGUUUUCCAUAUUCCCCGUGUUUAUUAUUUUAGCUUCUCGAAGGAGUCCCGUCUUUGAAAUGCCACCGAGCACUUUAACACCAUUCACACGUUACCCUUGACCCGAAAAUGACAAUCAAUUUUUCAAUAGCAUUCCAAAGAUAAAGCCCUGAGGACAGGGCUUUUGGGGGCCAUUGUUUAACAUACCAUGGCAUUUCAUGCUAGUUUGAGAUUCUCUAAUCCUUCUGCUUUGAAUACUUCAUGACUUCAGCAGGACGGAUGAGCUGUAAAUACUUUAUGAACUGUAGACCCCUGAGGGAUAUUUAAAGCAACCUGCUGGACAGGUAAAAGAGAUAAACAUCCACGAAAGAUAGUGUACCUCACCUAUACAUCCACCCUUAUGGAUCAAAGCACCAUAUCAUAUCUGAAUAUCAGUAAUAAUACAUUUAACACCCUGUUUUGGCACUCAGAGUGUCCACUUAUUUCAUCAUGCAUGAAUAUCCACAUUACAGUCCUGCAGGAUUUUGUUCUGUUGGCCUGAUAUUGUUAGGAGUUAUUUAUUGGUCCAUGAGAAUUUUUAUUACAUUUUUUUUAAGCAGUACGUGCUCUCAAAGUCCCAUUUGUGCAGGUUUGUGUUGCAGUUUUCACCUGCGCUGACUUGAUUCCACCAUGAGGGGGCAGAAGAGAAGCGUUUUAUAAUUGAAGGCUCCUCUGUGGAUUUACAUAACCUCUCAGUGAUGUCAGAGGAGACACAGUGACACAUGCACAAAGGGAAUCAUUGGUUCAUCAUUUAAGGAGAACUGUGCCUAUGGCCUUACAGAACUGUCAGCGACACUUUUGGCCUCAGGAACAAACCGGGAAAACUCAAUCCAGGCGGUAUAGUGUUGCCGUGUCUCAUGCGUAAACGAAAACUGAAGUUGCUCAGCCUUAAAGAAAUCAUGGUGUGUGCUAAAAUAUAAUCCAGCAUUCUCUCAGGAGUAUAGGUUUGUUUAUUCAUCUGUGUUUUGAAAGUAAGGUAUCAUUUGUACAUUGAGGUACAUAUGUUCUCUUGCUUAAAAAAAAAAGGAAGAACUAAUGUUAUGUAAAUAUUUUGUGUUUAAAAUGUUGUUUAAUUUGUGAUUUAUUUUGUAAGAUGUGUUUUGUGAGAUGUAAGGCUUUAUUUAUCAUUGGUCCCCUUGUCUUGAAGCAGAAGACAAUAUUUCCUCACAUUAAAAGCUGUUGCAAUUUCUUUUGGCUUGUAUUGUGUGUGUGUGUGUGUGUGUGUGUGUACAGGUUUAUAUAUCCUGGUGGGGACUUAAACCUGACUACACACAGACUCAUGGGGACUCGUGUCACGGUGGGGACCUAAAUCGUGGUCCCCACUUGUACAAAAGCUUAUAAAUAAUACAGAAUGAAGUUUUUUGAAAGUCUAAAAAUGCAGAACGUUUCCUGUGAGGGGUAGGUUUAGGGGUAGGGUUGGUGUAGGCCAACAGAAAAUACAGUUUGUACAGUAUAAAAACCAUUAUGCCUAUGGAGAGUCCCCACAAGGAUAGCCGACAAGACUGUGUGUGUGUGUGUGUGUACAGGUUUAUAUAUCCUGGUGGGGACUUAAACCUGACUACACACAGACUCAUGGGGACUCGUGUCACAGUGGGGACCUAAAUUGAGGUCCCCAUGGGUACAAAAGCUUAUAAAUCAUACAGAAUUUAGUUUUUUUGAGAAAGUAAAAAUGCAGAGUUUCCUGUGAGGGGUAGUUUUAGGGGUAGGGUUGGUGUAGGCCAACAGAAAAUACAGUUUGUACAGUAUAAAAACCAUUAUGCCUAUGGAGAGUCCCCAAAAGGAUAGCUGACCAGACGUGUGUGUGUGUGUGUGUGUGUGUGUGUGUGUCUCUCCCCCUGUUUUUAAUCUGUCUAUUGAACUGCAGGUUAUUGUGUUUCAUUAAAAUUCACUGGACAAACAGAUCAAGGUUACCUUUUCCUUUUAAAAAGAUUAAAGCAUUUAUUUAAGAAAUUGCCACUGCAUGAAGAAUCACAUAUAAGCAGAACCUUUGAUCUUCACGCAGUCUGCACUGACUCCACUACUAACCUCUCAUUGAUGGACCGAGAUUAGAAGUGGGUCAUUU